ACCUCACUCAUUAGUCCAGUUAGUAGAGCACGUGACUCUUAAUCUCAGAGUUGUGGGUCCAAGCCCCACAUUAGGCA